rnacentral:lncRNA from 1 species
GUGCUAAAGGAGCCUCUUUUGAAUCAGAUCCAAAGGGAGGAGGCGAGAGUCCUACAUAACUUCAAGAUUCUGAUGCUGAAAGAGCUUCUGUCUGCACAAAUGCUGUUCAAUGCCGGCAUCAGCUAGACGGUCCCUCAAGGUACGCAUGGGUCACCUAUCUCAAGGCCCCGUAUUCUUUAAUUUUCACUUUACUCCUACGCUAUCCAUUUAGUUGCCUUAGCUGCAGAAAUAUUUGUGGAGAUGAGCCUGAAUGAGAUGAAAAAAUUGGAGAAGAAGGUCCCUAAAAAGAGGGUAGCUGAGCUUGU